rnacentral:rRNA from 1 species
GGGGCCCAUGGGCGCAGCCUGAUGCAGCCAUGCCGCGUGUGUGAGAAGGCCUUCGGGUUGUAAAGCACUUUCAGUCGUGAGGAAGGUAGUUGCGUUAAUAGCGUAAUUAUUUGACGUUAGCGACAGAAGAAGCACCGGCUAACUCCGUGCCAGCAGCCGCGGUAAAAA